UCCCUGAGACCAUAACUUGUGAAUAUUUUCACAGGUUCUGGUUUCUGGACUA
rnacentral:pre_miRNA from 1 species